UAUUGCUGCUUCCUCCUGCAGUUGCAGAGAGACAAAGAGAUUUCCAGUGACUUCCGGUAAAGACUUGUGAGACAGGAACAAAGUUCUGCAGACACCAGGCCUGGGACUGUUCCGUCUUCGAAAAGUAAUCUUCCCCAAACAGCCUCUCCAGACAGUGUCAGGUUUCCUGGGCUGAGUAUUUAUUUAGGAGGCUGCUGGUGAUUCUAAUCGCUUGGGACAUCUUAACAACUGAAGUCGCAUUUGACGGAAAAACUCAUAAAGAAGCUGUGGGUGAUUGAGGGCAUGUUGUCAGAAGCCUGGCUCCAAAUAUCUGUGAUGCCACGUAGGUGGAAUUCUGCAGUGAGAAUGCAGAAAUAUUUUGAUGAAAAUAUCAGAGGGGUUUAUCUGAUUCUUCUAAUACAGUGUUUUCAACAAGAAAGAAACAAGUUCUCCAUGAGCUGAAAAGCACCAUUUAUUUGAAGCCCAAGGUCCAUAGUCUGAGCAUCUAUUAAAAGGAUAACACUCCUGGAAACAAAACCAUCAGCCAAGGUUCCAAAGCCACCAAACCAGACAUCACUGGCCACCUGAUCCCUGAUCCCUGGUCGCCCACCUUGGAGGGCAGUCUGCACCCCAGUAUCAACUGUGCCCCCUCAACUUCCUAAGCUGGAUGUUUCCUGCCUUCCCUCUAACUUCCUGAUUAAAGCAUUUUUCUGUAAAAAAAAAAAGGAUAACAAUAUGCAAAAUAGAAAAUAUGGGGGAUUUCCUUCUGUCUUAUUUUUGAAAUCCAAUAUUAUUCUGUUUUUGUUCUGUUUUAUUAUUUUGUUUUAUUCAAUGUUCAAAAUUGAUUUUAUUCUAUUCUGUUUUGUUUGAUUUUAUUAUACCUGAUGGUAUGGACAACAAUUUUGAAGACAACAAGAGUCAUUAUGGUAACCACUGUUGAUUUCCUAUUAUCCUGUUUUGAAAUGCUGUAUCACUUUCACUGUUUUGUUUUGAUUGGCUUUAUUCUGUUCUUUUCAUUUUGUUUUGCUUCAUUCUCUUUAAAAUAUGCUUUCGUUCUUUUUUGACUGGUUUUAUUCUGUUUUGUUUUGUUUGAUUUUAUUAUGUCUGAUGGCCUGGACAGCUAUUUUGAAGAAAACAAAGAGACAUUGAUUUCCUAUAAUCUGUUUUGAAGUCCUGUAUUACUUUCAUUGUUCUGUUCUGAUUAACUUUAUUCUAUUUUGUUUGGUUUGGUUUUAUUCUCUUUAAAAUUAAAAAAGAAGCUAUCUUGA